AGGGAGAAAGUGGGCCCGGGGACCCGUGGGGAGGGCGGAGAAGGGAGACCCCCUGCAGGAGAAGGUGAACGGGUGCCCUGCCAGGAGAGGGCGGCCAGGGUGUUAUGGGGGGAACACGGGGAGGGACCUGCAGGGAAGGGGGCCGGGGACACUGGGUGAGGUGAGAGAUGGGCUGCGGGUACAGGAAACCCCCGAGUGAGGGGUGAGACCCCAGAGGAUGUCCUUUCCCAGGAAAAGGUAGAGGAGACACUGCUUGGCUCUAACUUUGUUCUGACUCAGCAGCGGGCAGAGGGCUCCUCCAGUCCCUUCCUCGCUGCUCCCUUCCCUCCUGACUCCCCCCUCAUUCCUGGCUGAGGACACCCGUCCUCCCUUCUACUGCCCCUGGACUUCCCUGAUGCUCAGCUCCAGGGGGGCAGGAGCACUGGCACAGGUCAGCUCUGUAAAAAGGGAGCGAUUAUCUAAAACUGAGCUGCCCAGGAACGCUGGUCAGAGCCCCCAGGCCAGGUGACCUGAGGGUGGGGAGGGCAGCAGGUGCUCUGUCCGUGUUUGUGUCCCAGAUGACAGCCCCAUUGGUGGCUUAGGAGGAGGGGGUGUAGAGGUGCUGUGGGCCCCCAGCCUUUGCCCUGAAGUACUCCUCCCCCCUCACCUGGCUGGUCAGCGUCUUUGGCAUGUAUGGGCGGCCGCUCCGCUGGCGGGGAUCUUUUCUCAGGUGUCCUUCGGCAGACCCUGCCUGGCCCUCCCAGCUGCUGUGUCCUCCGCGCCCUUCGCAGGGGCCGGAGCAGAGUGGGCCCCUAAAUUGGAUGAUCGUCACCCAGCAUGUAUCGGGUGCACUGUGCUCAGUUCUUCCCAGACCGGACCACACUCACCAGCUGCUUCCAAAGCACUUAGAACAUCCCCUGGGUGCAUCAUAAAAGAGCCAGGGCAUUUGGAAGUUCUGUCAACUGGAAAAUGGAGAAACUGAAGACCCAGUAAAGCAUCAGAAGGGAAAUGCCACCUUCACUGGCAACAGGAGCACAUGAGAACCAGGAGUCAUUUCCCAUCUUCCUGGCAAAGAGAUGGGAGGGGGUGCAGUCAGUGCUGAGGACCCAAAGGCCCUUCCCAGCACCCCCACCCUUCUGCAUGCGUACCUUCCGGCAAAACGCUGACCAUCUGUGGGGCGUGCUGCAUCCUCUUCCUUGACCUGGAGUCCACUCACAACCUGCCAAGGGCCACCGCACGCCCCCAACCCUGCAGUGGUGACUCACCCCUCACAGGCGGGUUCUCUCCAUCCACCGCUCCGCACCUGGGCCCGCGUCCACCCCCCUCCGCAGACCACUGUCCUUGGGCAGCUGGUCCCACAGGUCCUCCCUGCCAAAUGCCCGGUCACCUCGUCUGAUUUCCCUCAUCUUGUCCGAAAGUCUUAUUUGUACACAGCACGUGUAUACUGCUCCCCUCCACGAAUGUGAAGGCCAUGGAGAAGGGCCCUGGGCGCCUAGCAGUGUGCCCGCCACGGACGGUCAUUGCUGGCGGCAGGUGCACCCCGUGCAGCCGCCCAGGGCUGUGGGACAGGGAGAGGCGAAGACGAUGCCAGGUGGGGAAAGUGUCGUAAAGCAUGUAUGACAACCUGAUUAUUUUCUGCAACGAAAAUAAAAAACUAUAUAUUGAAUAGGAAAAGGAAAGAUAAAGAGCAAAUGUGAACAGGUGUCUCAGGAUAGAAGAAUUACUGGGGACUUUUGCCUUUCUGUUUACUUAUGUUUUUAAAAGUUACUACAAUAAACGUUACUUUUGAAAUGAGGAAAAGAAUAUUUAUUAAGAAAACAAAAGGGUCAACGCCGGGUCAGAAAUCGCCCAGUUUCAGGACGCGGCCCUGGUGUCUGGGCAGCCCGCCGGCCCCACACGGUUCUCCACGCGUGGACCUGCCCGGGGCACAGGCCGUGCCGGGUCGCGGCAGCGGCGGCCCUGGGAGCUC